rnacentral:lncRNA from 1 species
CCGGCGUGUAGAGGGAAGGGGGCGGGGCUAGACGCGGCCUGGACAACUACUAGAGCGCCUCGGGCUGUGCUGCUCGAGACUACAUUUCCCAGAGCGACGCGCGCGGAGCGGGCGGGAAAGAGAGCGUUUCGGGUCCAGUGCGCAGGUGCGAAAGCCAUCUUUGGUUAUAUAAGGGAGGUUCAGGAAGCCAUUCGUUCUUUCGCGUCUGCGGUGCCCGGAGUGUGGUACUUCUCCUAGUUGCAGUCAGGCUUCAUACGCUAUUGUCCUGCCCGUAAGUUCCCGUUUUGUGUGUGGUUAGAGCAGCCAGCGGGUACAGAAUGGAUUUUGGAAGAGGGAGUCACCACUGGACCUCCAAGGAAGCCACGUGCAGACAUCUACAACCUUCGAUCUCCUGACGAGUUUAUUGUUGGCCAAAACCAGGCUUUGAUUGAACCAGGAUGAAUGCGGGUGUUGGAAGUAGAAUAUAUAUAUACAUAUAAAAUUGGUUGGGAGCCACGUGUACCAGUGUGUGUUGAUCUUGGCUUGAUUCAGUCUGCCUUGUAACAGAAACUGGCGAUGGAAUAUGAGAGGAGCCCUCUGGAAAGAAAAGGACAGACCCUGUGCUUUCAUGAAAGUGAAGAUCUGGCUGAACCAGUUCCACAAGGUUACUGUAUACAUAGCCUGAGUUUAAAAGGCUGUGCCCACUUCAAGAAUGUCAUUGUUAGACUUUGAAAUUUCUAACUGCCUACCUGCAUAAAGAAAAUAAAAUCUUUUAAAUCAAAAUGCUGUUUUGUUUGGCCAUUGGAGAUAACCAUUGAACAGGGAUAACAAGUAGUAGUUAGGUAUUUGCAGUUUCAUUUGGUUUUAGUUUUUUGAGGGGAGAAUCACCCUAGUGGGCAGUUGGUUUCUGUGGGCAAAGCCUGCUUUCCACAGGUAUUGUGCCUCGUGAUUGGCUUCUGCAUUGGAAACCUAAGAAUAAGCAAGCACACUUGGGCCAGAAUUCAAAGCAGAGGGUCAAUACAGAGGUAUCUCACUUGUAUGCUUACACCUGCACAAGAUCGUGUAUGUUAAAUCGUGGGUAUUAGGCCUUAAUGGUUGCAUGAGAUGAGUAAGGAUGAUGUGGGCUAUGGUAUUUGUUUAUAAACUUCAUAGGAAAUUGCAAAAAUAGGCUGCAUCAUUUAUCAAUAUGUGAUGAUUUUUUAUUUAAAAUACACAGUGAAUAAUUUUUUAAGUAUCUUAAAAUCUCACCUCAAAGAUGGGACCUCUAGAUUUCUUUUUUUUUUCUGAGGCAGAGUCUCGCUGUGUCACCCAGGCUGGAGUGCAGUGGCAUGAUCUCAGCUCACUGCGAGCUCUGCUUCCUGGGUUCACAUUCUCCUGCCUCAGCCUCCCAAGUAGCUGGGACUACAGGUGCCCGUCACCACGCCCGGCUAAUUUUUUGUAUUUUUAGUAGAGACGGGUUUUCGCUGUUUUAGCCAGGAUGGUCUUGAUCUCCUGACCUUGUGAUCUGCCCACUUCGGCCUCCCAAAGUGCUGGGAUAACAGGCAUGAGCCACUGCGCCCAGCCUGGGACCUCUAGAUUUCUAAAAUGACUCCUGGUAUUGACUCAGAAUCCCCUCCCCUUGACUAGGCUGGACCUAGUGUAACUUCUGAGACUUGCUAGCUCUUUUUCUCAUUCUCCUUGGCUUGCUCACUUUUUUUUUUUUUUUUUGAGAUCUCAGCUCACUGCAACCUCCGUCCCCUGGGUUUAAGCAAAUUCUCCUGCCUCACCCUCCCGAGUAGCUUGGAUUACCACGCCUGGCUAAUUUUUGUAUAUUUAGUAGAGGGGGUUCACCAUGUUGGCCAGGCUGGUCUUGAACUCCUGACCUCAAGUGAUCUGCCUGCGUCAAGCCUCCCAAAGUGUUGGAAUUACAGGCGUGAGCCACCACGCCUGGCCUAGCUUGCUCACUUUUAAUUAAGCUGCCAUGUUGGGAGAGGCCAGCGUAGCAAUCAACUGAGGUUGAACCAUUAGUGUGGGAGGAGUUACCCAACAACCAUGUGAGUUUGUAAGCACGUCUUUCUGUAGCGGAGGCUUGUGAGAAACCCUGAGAGCGGACCCACCCAGAUUGUGCUUGGAUUUCUGACCUAUGGGAAAUGUAUUUCAAGCCACUAGGUUUUGAGAUAACUUGCUACAAAGCAGUAAAUUCACAACUCUAUAAUGCCCACUCUAAAGGUCCUGACAUGGGCAUCUCCAUUACCUAAGUCAACUGAUGCUACUUCAAUUUCUCCACGUAGCAUUUGAAGCGUUUAUGUCUGGCCCCAGCCUACAUUUUCAGACUUAUUUGUGCAUUUGACUUAACAUGUCCAAAACUAAAUGCCUGAUGCUUCACUCACCUAACCCCAUUCCCUGCAAGUCUGUGCUUCCUGCGAUCUUCCCUUCCCAGGUAUUGGCAACACCAGAAGUCCAGUUGGUCAGGAGCUGUGGAAUCAACCUCAUGUACCAUGUGAAUCCCUUGGCAAAUGCUAUUGGUUCUACCUUCAAAAUACAUCUGAAACCCACCCCCUCUUAGCGUCUUCAUUGCUACCACCUUGGUACAAACCAUCAAACAAGCUUGGAAUACUGGUCUCUACUUCAGCCUUUGCUCCCUACGAUCAAUUGAGAUGCAACCAGAGCGAUCUGUGAAAACCUGAAUUAGGUAUGGAGCUCUCUGCUCAGAAGCCUCCAGUGUCUUCCCCACCUCACACAGUAAAAGCCAAAGUCCAUCAGGGCCUACAUGAUCUUCCCCUUCCCUUAACCUCUAACUUCAUCUCUUCCCUUUCAAUCUUAGCCACAUGGGCCCCCUGACUUCUCCAUUCCUUUAGGAUUACUCCAACCUCAGUAUCUUAGCACUUGAUUUUCCCACUGCCUGGAAUGAUCAGCCCUAGACCCCCAGAGCUUUGCACAGCCCUCUGCCUUGUGUCAUUCAG